AUUCAUGGUGGAAUGCUCGCCUACCACGCGAGCGUCCCGGGUUCGAAUCCCGG
rnacentral:tRNA from 1 species